AUGGCGGGGCCGGCAGCUGUGCUCGUGCUCCUCUCUUUGCUCGCGCUCUGGAGCUGCGCCGUCGCCGUUGCACCGCUGCCUGGGGCGGUGGUGCCGGCGCCGGUGCGGGUGGGCGUGGUGCUGGACCUGACGAGCGCCGUGGGGAGGGAGAGGCGCGCCUGCAUUUCCAGGGCGUUGGACGACUUCCAUGCCGCUCACGCCGGCUCCGGCUCCGCACGGGUCGAGCUGCGUGUGCGGGGCUCGCGCGGGGAUCUCGCCACGGCCGCACACGCUGCCGAGGACCUGAUCAAGAAUGGGCAAGUGCAGGCCAUCAUAUGGGGCCCUGGGACACUGGGCAAAUCAGAUUACGCCACACACCUAGGCCGCCGCCGCAACCAUGUUCCGGUUCUCUCCUUCUCUGGUGUUUCUCCAGCAUUGUGUGCCUUCUGGAUAGAAGAUCCUGUAGCAGCCUCAGGAGGCCAUGCCACGUUUGGAUUUACACUUGGAAGUGACACUAUAACCUUUCCUAGUCCGAGAACAGGCAGAAGAAUUAGUAGAAAACUAGGUACAAGGAAAUCAAGGAAGAAAUGCAGAGGUAAGACGGGGCUUAAGAUUGCCGUGCCGCUGAAACUGGGCUUUCAAGUUUUUGUGAACGUUAUUGAUCCUGUUUCCAAGAAACAAAACGUCACUGGCUACAGCAUUGAUAUCUUUGAGGCUGCUAUGAGGAAUUUGCAUCCUCGUCCGUGCUAUAAUUUUUUCGUCUUCCGUGGUACUUAUGAUGAGCUAGUAGGCAAUGUGUCUUUCGGGGUGUAUGACGGUGCAGUAGGCGAUGUGACCAUAACCGCGGAACGAGUCGCUACCACAGACUUUACAAUGCCGUACACCCAGUCAGGUGUGUCUAUGCUUGUGCUCGCCGAGGAUGAACCGGAUACAAUCCGUUGGACAUUUGUAAAGCCACUAAAUGGGAGGCUUUGGUUUGCAACAAUUGUCUUCUUCUUCUAUACUGGCUUUGUUGUGUGGAUGAUUGAACUGCCCAAAAAUCAGGAGUACCAAGGAUCAAGAUCGAGACAAUGUAGCACUGCCCUCUACUUCAUUUUCUCAACUUUGACAUUUUCUCAUGGUCCUAUUAUUAGAAGCCCCUUGUCAAAAAUUGUUGUGGUGGUAUGGUGCUUUGUGGUGCUGAUUCUUGUACAAAGCUACACAGCAAGCCUAUCAUCCAUACUGACCGCAAAGAGGCUCCGUCCUUUGAUGACAGAUCUAGACCAGCUCAGGAGUAGUGGUGACUUUGUAGGAUACCAAGAUGAUUCAUUUGUGCGGUCCUUCUUGGUCAGUCAUAAUUUCAGUGAAAGCAGGUUAAGGAACUACACAACGAAAGAAGAAUAUGCUGCUGCUUUGAGGAUGGGUUCCAAGAAUGGAGGGGUGUCAGCUAUCAUAGAUGAGAUCCCUUAUUUAACUUCUUUCCUCUCUGACCGUCGGUACGAAAAUGAUUUUAGGAUGCUUGGAUCCAUAUACAGGACUCCUGGAUUUGGCUUUGCAUUCCGUCUAGGUUCUCCGCUAGUGCAUAAUCUUUCGACUGCUAUCCUGCACCUAGCAGGACGGGAUGAGGGCUCACGAAUCGAAAGAAAAUGGUUCGGCUCAGCUUCACCUCCAAUGGGUCCUAGCAUGGUCCCUGACAUGGACUCCACGCCUCUGACUUUCCAAAGCUUCUCCGGUCUCUUUGUCAUCACAGUAUCCAUUUCAACUCUAAUGCUGUUGAUAAGCAUUAUAAGGUCAAUUCAUGCCAAAUGCACUCGGUUGAGAAAGGUCGAAGAUGAGUCUCGUCCGUUGCAGAAUACCAUGGGUGGCGACCCCAGCCCUGUUCCACAACCCUACCCUGAAGCUGGCAGUGAUAAUUUUGGGGCCGUCGAAGGAAGCAGCGAAAAUGUUGGGGGCAUAGAGCCUGACCCGGUGCAGCAGAAUGGCAUCCAGGAUGCAUCUGUGCCUCCAGGACACACUCAGAUUCAGAUUGAGUUGAGCAGUGUCUGA
rnacentral:rRNA from 1 species